UKGGRGGGCRAAGUCUGGUGCCAGCAGCCGCGGUAAUUCCAGCUCCAAUAGCGUAUAUUAAAGUUGUUGCAGUUAAAAAGCUYGUAGUUGAACUUCGGGAUCAAUGGAUCGGUCAUGCCGUUGGUAUGUACUGGUCACAUUGGUUCUCACCUUCUAAGGAACCAUGAUGUCAUUCAUUUGAUGUUGUGGGGAAUUAGGACUGUUACCUUGAAAAAAUUAGAGUGUUUAAAGCAGGCUAACGCUUGAAUACAUUAGCAUGGAAUAAUGAAAUAGGACAUCGCAUUCUAUUUUGKUGGUUUCUAGGAUCGAUGUAAUGAUUAAUAGGGAUAGUUGGGGGCAUUAGUAUUCAAUUGUCAGAGGUGAAAUUCUUGGAUUUAUUGAAGACUAACUAYUGCGAAAGCAUUUGCCAAGGAUKUUUUCAUUAAUCAAGAACGAAAGUUAGGGGAUCGAAGACGAUCAGAUACCGUYGUAGUCUUAACCAUAAACUAUGCCGACUAGGGAUCGGAUGAUGUUGAUUUUUUAAUGACUCAUUCGGCGCCUUWCGGGAAAC
rnacentral:rRNA from 1 species